GGGGAAACCCAGUGUGUUUCGACACACUAUCAUUAACUGAAUCCAUAGGUUAAUGAGGCGAACCGGGGGAACUGAAACAUCUAAGUACCCCGAGGAAAAGAAAUCAACCGAGAUUCCCCCAGUAGCGGCGAGCGAACGGGGAGGAGCCCAGAGCCUGAAUCAGUGUGUGUGUUAGUGGAAGCGUCUGGAAAGGCGCGCGAUACAGGGUGACAGCCCCGUACACAAAAAUGCACAUAUUGUGAGCUCGAUGAGUAGGGCGGGACACGUGGUAUCCUGUCUGAAUAUGGGGGGACCAUCCUCCAAGGCUAAAUACUCCUGACUGACCGAUAGUGAACCAGUACCGUGAGGGAAAGGCGAAAAGAACCCCGGCGAGGGGAGUGAAAAAGAACCUGAAACCGUGUACGUACAAGCAGUGGGAGCCUCUUAAUGGGGUGACUGCGUACCUUUUGUAUAAUGGGUCAGCGACUUAUAUUCUGUAGCAAGGUUAACCGAAUAGGGGAGCCGAAGGGAAACCGAGUCUUAACUGGGCGUUAAGUUGCAGGGUAUAGACCCGAAACCCGGUGAUCUAGCCAUGGGCAGGUUGAAGGUUGGGUAACACUAACUGGAGGACCGAACCGACUAAUGUUGAAAAAUUAGCGGAUGACUUGUGGCUGGGGGUGAAAGGCCAAUCAAACCGGGAGAUAGCUGGUUCUCCCCGAAAGCUAUUUAGGUAGCGCCUCGUGAAUUCAUCUCCGGGGGUAGAGCACUGUUUCGGCAAGGGGGUCAUCCCGACUUACCAACCCGAUGCAAACUGCGAAUACCGGAGAAUGUUAUCACGGGAGACACACGGCGGGUGCUAACGUCCGUCGUGAAGAGGGAAACAACCCAGACCGCCAGCUAAGGUCCCAAAGUCAUGGUUAAGUGGGAAACGAUGUGGGAAGGCCCAGACAGCCAGGAUGUUGGCUUAGAAGCAGCCAUCAUUUAAAGAAAGCGUAAUAGCUCACUGGUCGAGUCGGCCUGCGCGGAAGAUGUAACGGGGCUAAACCAUG
rnacentral:rRNA from 1 species